rnacentral:rRNA from 1 species
UCCACGCCCUAAACGAUGUCAACUAGGUGUUGGGGAAGGAGACUUCUUUAGUACCGCAGCUAACGCGUGAAGUUGACCGCCUGGGGAGUACGGUCGCAAGAUUAAAACUCAAAGGAAUUGACGGGGACCCGCACAAGCGGUGGAUUAUGUGGAUUAAUUCGAUGCAACGCGAAAAACCUUACCUACCCUUGACAUGUCAGGAAGAUUCCAGAGAUGGGAUUGUGCCCGAAAGGGACCUGAACACAGGUGCUGCAUGGCUGUCGUCAGCUCGUGUCGUGAGAUGUUGGGUUAAGUCCCGCAACGAGCGCAACCCUUGUCAUUAAUUGCCAUCAUUCAGUUGGGCACUUUAAUGAGACUGCCGGUGAUAAACCGGAGAAGGUGGGGAUGACGUCAAGUCCUCAUGGCCCUUAUGGGUAGGGCUU